AGGUUGGUGGCUAAAUGGAGGAAAGCGCGUGUUUUUAAAUCGCAGAUCCGAGGGUUCGAAUCCCCCACCAAUUA
rnacentral:tRNA from 1 species